GAUGAACGCUGGCGGCGUGCCUAAUACAUGCAAGUCGAGCGAACGGACGAGAAGCUUGCUUUUCUGAUGUUAGCGGCGGACGGGUGAGUAACACGUGGAUAACCUACCUAUAAGACUGGGAUAACUUCGGGAAACCGGAGCUAAUACCGGAUAAUAUUUUGAACCGCAUGGUUCAAAAGUGAAAGACGGUCUUGCUGUCACUUAUAGAUGGAUCCGCGCUGCAUUAGCUAGUUGGUAAGGUAACGGCUUACCAAGGCAACGAUGCAUAGCCGACCUGAGAGGGGGAUAGGCCACACGAGAACGGAGACACGGACCAGGCUCCUGAGGGAGGCAGCAGUAGGGAAUCGUCCGCAAUGGGCGAAAGCCUGACGGAGCAACGCCGCGUGAGUGAUGAAGGUCUUCGGAUCGUAAAACUCUGUUAUUAGGGAAGAACAUAUGUGUAAGUAACUGUGCACAUCUUGACGGUAACUAAUAAGAAAGCCACGGCUAACUACGUG
rnacentral:rRNA from 1 species